UCAUACCCUGGGUCUUAUACUUCCGUCCCCGUACGUAGCCCAGAGAUGCAUAGCAGGUGCUCUGCAGACGUCUGCUGCCCGAGGAUACAGAUGCAGAUCCCAGCAACUGCACGAGGUGUGGACCCGUGUCGACAUCUGGCUCGUUUGUUUUGGUGACCAUGGUCGAAUGAAGUCCUGAAGCAGAUGACCCUCCUUCCGAAGUCUCAUCAGGAGGUCAGUGGUAGCAUCAUGCUACGUCACAGGGCCUCCAUCACUCACCCGACUCACUUCAUCUCAUUACGCAGGCAUUUUCUCAUCUCCCAUCAUCAUAAGAAGAAGGGUGUUUGUGGUUGUUGGAGCGACUUCUACCUGCGCUAAACCACCCCACCCUGAGGUUUUGAAGUGAAGUAUUUUGAUUGGCUCCGGAUGUGAUCAUGUGAUUGAGCAUUGGCCAAUGAGAUCAUCGCAUUCCUGCCAAGUUACCGGCUCAGCUGCCUGAUGCAUUCCCAACUCAGCUUCCUUUAGCUAGACCCAACAAUCAUCCACAGAAAU